UUGGUUACGCUUGAUUUUAAAAUG
rnacentral:snRNA from 1 species